AUUGAACGCUGGCGGCAGGCCUAACACAUGCAAGUCGAGCGGAUGAAGGGAGCUUGCUCCUGGAUUCAGCGGCGGACGGGUGAGUAAUGCCUAGGAAUCUGCCUGGUAGUGGGGGAUAACGUCCGGAAACGGGCGCUAAUACCGCAUACGUCCUGAGGGAGAAAGUGGGGGAUCUUCGGACCUCACGCUAUCAGAUGAGCCUAGGUCGGAUUAGCUAGUUGGUGGGGUAAAGGCCUACCAAGGCGACGAUCCGGAACUGGUCUGAGAGGAUGAUCAGUCACACUGGCACUGAGACCCGGUCCAGACUCCUACGGGAGGCAGCAGUGGGGAAUAUUGGACAAUGGACGAAAGCCUGAUCCAGCCAUGCCGCGUGUGUGAAGAAGGUCUUCGGAUUGUAAAGCACUUUAAGUUGGGAGGAAGGGCAGUAAGUUAAUACCUUGCUGUUUUGACGUUUCCAACAGAAUAAGCACCGGCUAACUUCGUG
rnacentral:rRNA from 1 species